GCCUCCCUCCGCCGCCACUCAGACUCCUACCGGGACGGUAGGCAGUGGGGGAAGUAUUGGGACAAUGGGCGGAAAGCCUGAUCCAGCAAUGCCGCGUGAGUGAUGAAGGCCUUAGGGUCGUAAGCNUUUACCCGGGAUGAUAAUGACAGUACCCGGGAGAAUAAGCCCCGGCUAACUCCGUGCCAGCAGCCGCGGUAAUAC
rnacentral:rRNA from 1 species